rnacentral:rRNA from 1 species
GCGGUGGAGCAUGUGGUUUAAUUCGAAGCAACGCGAAGAACCUUACCAGGUCUUGACAUCCGAUGCUAUUUCUAGAGAUAGAAAGUUACUUCGGUACAUCGGUGACAGGUGGUGCAUGGUUGUCGUCAGCUCGUGUCGUGAGAUGUUGGGUUAAGUCCCGCAACGAGCGCAACCCCUAUUGUUAGUUGCCAUCAUUCAGUUGGGCACUCUAGCGAGACUGCCGGUAAUAAACCGGAGGAAGUGGGGAUGACGUCAAAUCAUCAUGCCCCUUAUGACCUGGGCUACACACGUGCUACAAUGGUUGGUACAACGAGUUGCGAGUCGGUGACGGCGAGCUAAUCUCUUAAAGCCAAUUUCAGUUCGGAUUGUAGGCUGCAACUCGCCUACAUGAAGUCGGAAUCGCUAGUAAUCGCGGAUCAGCACGCCGCGGUGAAUACGUUCCCGGGCCUU